AGAGUUUGAUCCUGGCUCAGAACGAACGCUGGCGGCGUGGAUAAGACAUGCAAGUCGAGCGAGAUUUUUUUCUGUAGCAAUACGGGGAAAAGUCUAGCGGCGAACGGGUGCGUAACACGUGGGCAACCUGCCAAGAAGUGGGGGAUAGCUCGCCGAAAGGCGAAUUAAUACCGCAUGUGAUCAGAGUGGACAUCCAUUCAAAAUCAAAGUCGGGGCAACCUGACGCUUCUUGAGGGGCCCGCGGCCUAUCAGCUAGUUGGUGCGGUAACGGCCCACCAAGGCUUAGACGGGUAGCUGGUCUGAGAGGACGACCAGCCACACUGGGACUGAGACACGGCCCAGACACCUACGGGUGGCAGCAGUCGAGAAUUUUUCUCAAUGGGGGAAACCCUGAAGGAGCGACGCCGCGUGGAGGAUGAAGGUCUUCGGAUUGUAAACUCCUGUCAUUGGGGAACAAUGCGUAAAUAUUAACUGUGUUUGCGUUGAUAGUACCCGAAGAGGAAGAGACGGCUAACUCUGUGCCAGCAGCCGCGGUAAUACAGAGGUCUCAAGCGUUGUUCGGAUUCAUUGGGCGUAAAGGGUGCGUAGGCGGCGCGGUAAGUCGGGUGUGAAAUCUCGGGGCUUAACUCCGAAACUGCAUUCGAUACUGCCGUGCUUGAGGACUGGAGAGGAGACUGGAAUUUACGGUGUAGCGGUGAAAUGCGUAGAUAUCGUAAGGAAGACCAGUGGCGAAGGCGGGUCUCUGGACAGUUCCUGACGCUGAGGCACGAAGGCCAGGGGAGCAAACGGGAUUAGAUACCCUAGUAGUCC
rnacentral:rRNA from 1 species